AUACCGCUCGCGCCGCCACCCUCCCUCACCUGGAGACGGAGCGCCCGCCACUGACCCCAGGCCCCGCUACGCCUCAGGCACAUCGCCGCCAUCUUCCGGGGGAGUCUGAAGAAAUACAACAAACCGAUCCGUAAGCGAGUCGCAAACGCCAACGCUGUAUUCCCACAAAGUGAAACCGGCUUCGGGCGAAAGGACAGAAUCCGAAGACGAAACCGGCACUCCCGGUUAUGUAAGGCGACCGGCGAGUGUCAACAAAAGAAAUCUGCCGAAUGACGCUUGCGCUUUACGCCGUCCGCUUCGUUUCAUAACUCUUAAAGGGGCAGUGACCCCAUUGGGGAUCUGCGUUUGCAAGGAUAAAUGUACCGAAGUGGUAAUGUCCCUAACUCUGAGCCAGGAGACCAGAGUUCAAGUGCCACCUGCUCCAAAGGUGUGUAAUAACAUCUCUGAACAGGCUGGUUAAAAAUAUCUCUUAUGGAUUUGCAAACUACAACAUAUACAUGUCCGUUUUCAUUGUCAUCUCUCAGGGUCAUAAACCCAGAGCAAAAGCCGGAAACCUGAUAUAAACAUGUCGUUGCUAGAAAUACUCAGCAGGCCUGUUAGUCCCAGUGGAGAAUCAACUUAUGUCUACAUUGCACCUUUAACAUAAUGAAACUUCCAAGGUGUUUUACAGCAUGACGAAACUUCGUCAAGCCCUUUAAGAACAUUAGGUGACCAAAAGGUUGAUGCAAUCGGUAGAAUCUUAAAAGAGGUAAAAGGGGUGUGUUUCAGUUCAGCGAUCUAUGUUCAGAAUUCUUAAUCCUAUAUUUAUUAUUCAAAUUAUUUACGCAAAACGACAUUCAAAUUACCUUCAAACUUUAAAAACACUACAAUAUUUACUAGAGAUGAUGGGAACUGCAGAUGCUGGAGAAUCCAAGAUAAUAAAAUGUGAGGCUGGAUGAACACAGCAGGCCAAGCAGCAUCUCAGGAGCACAAAAGCUGACGUUUCGGGCCUAGAGCCGAAAUAUUUACUAGUUCACAGGUCAGAUGUAUGGUGCGCAAAAUUUGCAGAUCCAGCUUUGUUCUUAUUUUAAAACAGACCCUAAAAGCAGCAUAGAACAUUAACAAGUUUUCCUUUCCUUGUUACAUAUUGGGAGGAAUUUUGGGGGAAAGAAGACAAACAGCAAGAUGAUCAGUUCAAGUAAAUUAUGGCCUCAAACAUAUAAACUUCAUACCCUUUUUUAAAAUGCUUUCAAAAUAAACUUACUUCUAUUUCAGACACUAAAUUCAACAGUGAAAUAAAUCCUUGUGGAAGUGUACACUAGGCAUAAUUGCAGCUGAACUUUUUUAAAUUCCAUCUACAAAUUAACUGGUUUACAAAGCCUUUCAGAUCUCCUUGGAGAUUGUGAUGUGUUAUGUUCUGGACCACAGAUUUUGGUUUAUUACUUGAGUUCCUGUUACUUGCUCAGAGUUUAAUAUUUCAGGCAUUGAAACCUGACUGGUUUGCAUGUUUGCAAUAAUUGGCUUAUUUCUCACAGAUCAUGUGAUUUACAGGGACCAUUCUCACCUUUUCAUCAAUUUUAACCAAAUAUGUUUUAGCUCCACAAACCUACUCUGUACCUCUUACAAACCACAUGUGUGACUUGACAGGGAUUCAGAACACAAAUAUGCUUAUUUUGACUAAAAACUAUGUUUGUAUAAUACUGACACAUAUGACUGAACUAUUUUGAGUUUAACAUUGGUCAACAAAGUUCCAAGCAAGCAUUGUACCAAACGUGAACUUGUUUUUUUCUCCACAAGUUCCACUAGACCUGCUGACCUUUUCCAGCAGUUUCCCUUUUCUUUAAUUUCAGAUUUCCAGCACCUGCAAUGUGGGACUGAAUGGAAGUCACGUGGCACAGCAUUAGCAUCUCCGUCUCUGAACCUGAUGCACUGGCUCUGAGUCCCGCUCCAGGAUUAAAUGGCAAUGGAAAGUUUGUGACCAAACAGGUUGACCCCAGAGGGAAUAAACAGUAAAACCUGGAAAUGAGUAUAAUGGGACACCAUUUUGAUGUAUACUAAGCAAGUUGGGACAACAUGUUUCAUUUGUCAGUUUUACUGCAGAAGGUAAGCCUGCCUGACCUGAAUAGUCAGCCAUGCUUGAUGCAGAGUGGUACCCCUCAGGUUUUACCCCCUGGCAAUAGGCUUAUGACCCAUUCCAUGAAAAUCUAACAAUGGAACCAGGCUUAUGUAUGUACUUUGUCUGCCUCAUACAACUAGGUAUGAAAAGAGAAUAGAGGACAUUUGUUGAAGUUUCAGGUAAGUGUGAACACUGGCUGUCAUUGAGAUAACAAGGUGUAGAGCUGGAUGAUCACAGGAGGCCAAGCAACAUCUUAGGAGCAGGAAAGCUGACGUUUCGGGCCUAGACCCUUCAUCAGAAAUGGGUCAUUGUCAUUGAUCCUGGUGAUUUGACAUGAAAAGUAUUUCAGAGCAGAUCAGCAAGACAUAAGUUUGCUUGAGUUCAGAAGCUUUUAAAAUAAAAGUUAUUUUGUAAAAAUAAAUAAUUGUGAUGAACGUGAUAUGAUUUUUCAGUCCCCAGGUGUCAGUGCAGUUCUAGUGCUGAUUCUUGUUAAGUAUGGAUAACUUUCCUAAUCAACCUGAUCCGAGAUGUUAUGACACACCGCUAGAACAGGUGGGUCUUAAAACCCACAUCUCCAGACUCAAAGAUGCACCAUAGAAAGCAUACUAUUCAGGCUAACACAGCCUGGUACGGCUACUGCUCUGCCCAGGAUUGUAAGAAACUACAGCAGUUGUGUGCACAACCCAAGCCAUCUUCCAUUCAUGGACUCUAUCUGCAUCUCUCAUUGCCCUGGAAAGGCUACGAACAUCAUGAAAGACCCAUCCCUCCACAGUAAUGCUCUCCUACAACCUCUUCCAUCAGGCUGAAGACAACAGAAGCUUGAACACAUUGCACGAAAAAGUUCAAGAACAGCUUUAUCCUUGCCAUUAUUAGACUGACAAAUGGACUGUCUAACUUCAAAUAAUGUCGAUCUUGUUAAUAUUGAUCUUGCCUAGUGUAUGUCCUGUGCAGUGUAACCUGUAUGCCUCACUCUGACCAAGUCUUUUUUCCCCCACCCUAUUAUCUGUAUGUCCUUGCUUACUACAAUUUGCCUGUACUGCUCGCAGACAAAGCUUUUCACUGUAUUUGGGUACAGAUGAGAAUAAAUCAAAUCAAAUUUUAAAAAAAUGAAACAUAAGAAAACUAGACAGUAGAACCAUAUAUAAGUUUUAUGUACUGAUUAAAGUGUGAUUGAAGAGGAUUGUUUGACCUACUAACUCCCAUCCUGCGAGAAUAUCUCCACAAUCAAGAACAACUGAUGAAUCUGGUGGCAGUGCCUCAGGCAUGCUUGAUGGUAAUCAUAUUUCAUUGUUAACCCUAAUAAAUAAUUCCUGGAAUCUGGGAAAAAAAAUUGA